rnacentral:rRNA from 1 species
UACGUAGGGUGCAAGCGUUGUCCGGAAUUAUUGGGCGUAAAGAGCUCGUAGGUGGCCUGUCGCGUCGGCUGUGAAAACUCGGGGCUCAACUCCGAGCUUGCAGUCGAUACGGGCAGGUUAGAGUUCGGCAGGGGAGACUGGAAUUCCUGGUGUAGCGGUGAAAUGCGCAGAUAUCAGGAGGAACACCGGUGGCGAAGGCGGGUCUCUGGGCCGAUACUGACACUGAGGAGCGAAAGCGUGGGGAGCGAACAGG